AUUGAACGCUGGCGGCAGGCCUAACACAUGCAAGUCGAGCGAGCGGCGGACGGGUGAGUAAUGUAUGGGGACUGCCCGAUAGAGGGGGAUAACUACUGGAAACGGUAGCUAAUACCGCAUACUAUCGGAUAACCCAUAUGGGAUUAGCUAGUAGGUGAGGGAAUGGCUCACCUAGGCGACGCUCCCUAGCUGGUCUGAGAGGAUGAUCAGCCACACUGGGACUGAGACACGUCCAAGACUCCUACGGGGGAAGAGGUGGGGAAUAUGGCAAAAUGGGCGAAAGCCUGAUGCAGCCAUGCCGCGUGUAUGAAGAAGGCCCUAGGGUUGUAAAGUACUUUCAGUCGGGAGGCGUUCCCGACAGAAGAAGCACCGGCUAACUCCGUGCCAGUAGCGCGGUAAUUC
rnacentral:rRNA from 1 species